CAAUUAUCUCUUACUUUUCUGUUUUAGAAUGGGUUUCCAUAUGCCACCAUUCUGUUCCAUUUCCCACUUGCACCUUCAUGUCAUAGCACCAGUUGAUCAGCUUGGCUUCUUAUCAAAAUUGGUUUAUAGACCAAAUUCCUAUUGGUUCAUCACAGCUGACUAUUUGAUUGAAAAACUAAGAACAUGAAAAUGACAGCAGUGGAAGAUUUUCUUAUUCUUGGCUCAACAGACACUAAUAUUUUGGUCCCUUUUAAAUCAAAUUACAAUGGUAAGGUUUGUUGGGUUUUAUAAGAGGCUAUUACUGGGUAGCCUUAAGUCUUUUCUGAAUGUCUAUUUCCUGAGAUCUGUAAUAUAUGACUACUCUGGCAUUGUCUUCUUUGUUUUAAUGGUUACUUGUCUAAGGUAUAAGAUACUACAGAUAAAAUUUUAUUAAAACAAAUUCUGUUAAUCAAGAAGGGCUCUGUAUUUUUUAAAAGUUCAAGUAUUUUCAUUUCUCAUUAUUGUCAGUUAUAAUAGUGAUUUAUUAUGAAGAAUAAAUGGGUAUAGAAAGUA